CAACCGAAAAGAGUUCAUCUCCUCUCCUGUUUCCGAAGUUAAAAGUCCCGAGAUAUCUCGAAUCUUCGGGAACUUGAGAUCCUAAUUUAGCUGAUUCCUUAUUUCCCAAGAAGUUGUAGCAAUCAGCCAUGGCUGGAGGAGGAAACUUUAUUCAUAGGGUUAUUUCUUAUGUAGCCAACGAAUUGAUCGUCAAUGGACUCGCCAACAGCCCUGGUUUCCAAAGAUUUGCAGUAAGGACCUCGAGGAGAAUGGAGGAUCUAUCUAAAAUGGCUGAGCAAAAGAAGAGAGAAGUUACUGACCUGAUCAAGGAUGUGUCCAAAAACUCCGAGUCUUUCAAGAACCAGUGACUUGGAAGGAAGGUGUAAGAUGUACAGAGUUGCUUUUUCUUUUUCCUCUCCCAUACUAAUAUGAUGAAGAAAAUCGAGUCCUCAUAGCUGUGAUGGGGCUGUUGUUGCAUACGGCGGUGUGGAAGUGAUCAUGGGAGGGCUAUCUUAGCAAGCAGAAAUAUGCAUGUUGACAAGCUAAAUGAGAGGUUGAUAGCUAUGGUCCCAGAAAUUAUGAUAGGCCAUUGUGCAACAAAGCAUGUGUUUAUUCCACGCAUUCAGCUUUCACCCCCAUAAAAUGAAGGAUAUCCUUUCAAGUUCAUUCAGAAGCAAUUUCCAGUCCACCUUUGCUUUGCAAUGACAAUAAUUGAAGCACAAGGCCAAACUAUUCCCAAUGCUGGCUUGUAUUUACCCCAACUUGUUUUUUCGCAUGGACAACUGUACGUUGCACUUUCAAGAGGAUAUCAAUAUUCACAACAAAAGUUCUCAUCAUGAGAGAGCAACCAACAUGUCGAAGUGGAACAUAUACGAAGAACAUCGUCUAUAAGGAAGUGUUAGGUUAGUUUUGAAGGAGAAUGCACCCAUCAUGCUACUCAGAAAUCUAGACCCCUCAAAUAGCUUAUGUAAUAGAACAAGAAUGAUAUGUAGAGGCUUUGACAACAACGUUUUGCAUGCAAAAAUUAUGAUAUGCCAUUGUGCAACAAAGCAUGUGUUUAUUCCACGCAUUCAACUUUUACCCCCAAAAAAUGAAGGAUAUCCUUUCAAGUUCAUUCGUAAGCAAUUUCCAUUUCGCCUUUGCUUUGCAAUUACAAUAAAUAAAGCACAAGGCCAAACUAUUCCCAAUGUUGGCUUGUAUUUGACUCAACAUAUUUUUUCGCAUGGACAACUGUACGUUGUAUUUUCAAGAGGGAUAUCAGUGUCCACAUCAAAUGUUCUCAUUAUGACAGAGCAACCAACACGUCGAAGUAGAACAUAUACCAAGAACAUUGUGUACAAGGAAGUGUUAGGUUCAGACGACAUCU